rnacentral:lncRNA from 1 species
UUGGGGCAUCACCAGCUUUGUAAUCGACUUGUCCAUACAAAGCCAUGCUGUUCUCAACCAUUCACACACUUUGUGCCUCAUUUAAUAUGCUUGUUGCAAAGGAGGGUGAUGAGAAAUGGAAGCCUAUGACUGAUGAAGCCACUCUAAUAAGGGUUCAUGUUGUUCAAAACUUCAAAUCCAAUUGAGGCAAUCCAUGAACCAUUAGAAGCUGGGCUGAAACUUGCUCGAUAAGAGAUUGCUAAUCUGUAGGAUGAUAAUAAAGCAUUAGAUCGACUGAUAGUGUGAAACCAAUUGAUGUCUAUUAAUUAUAGACUGUUUUGAUCAGGAAAACAAUUUUCGUUAGGGUUUCAAAGUAGUAGUAACCAGCAAGAGAGAGGUUAUAUGGUAAGGUAGUUGGGCGACAAGAAGGGUUACGAGAGGUUUGACUGUCAUGACACAAUGGUCAAUUGUCACAUUGAAGGUUGAACUGGGUAUCUGCUAAGCAAAACUAACUGUUAAGCCUGUGGCGUAAGCUAGAAUUGGCACUGUGGCUUCUGGAGUUACAAAGGGUAAUGCUUAUACAUACAGGUACUCGAUUUAGUUCUGUCAAUGGGUGGGUUGGUAAGUAAAAAAUCCAUUACUGAUGGUUUGGUUCACGGUUUGAUGUAAAAUCGUCAUAAACUAGCCCGUGAACAUCCCUAUCAUAUAUAUAUGUUCUUAAUUUGUAUAUUAUUAACAAUAACAUUAAAUAACCUUUUAUGGAAAUUAGUAAUAAUUUUUUUUAUCCUAGAUUAAUUUAAUUGUUAUCAAAUGAGAUGGCAUAGUUAUAACUUUUUUUUUUGCCUAGAUUGAUUUAAUUGUUAUCAAAUGAGAUGGCACUCUAUAUGUUGGUAAACUGUGAAGAAACGAGGUGAAAUCAAGAGUAAUGGGAGAUUCAAGCUACACAAGCACGAUUGACUGUUUUAUUAAGACUUAAAAAAUGACUUAAGUUGUUAUCUUUGGUUUGUAUAAAGAAGUAAAUGAAAAUUUUGGUGUAAAUCAAAUUAGAUGUACCAACACUUGAAUAGUAUGCGUCUUUUUAUUAUAUAAAACACGUGUGU